UGUGUGCAGUUGUCUUCGUAUAGACUUGAAGUGAAGUGUUUAUUUAUAUAGUUUUUAUUUAAUUUAUUGGAUCAGCUUACUUAAAGAUUUAACAAUUAUUUGAUUAUGGCAACGUCACGUCAUUUCAAGAUCGUAUUAUUACUAUUUCUAAUGUGUACUAAAAGUGUACUUGGUCUGGACAGGUUAGAAAAUCUCUCAAUAAACAACAAUGGAUUAGGACAGUAUAGUUUUGAGUUUCAAACGUCGGAUGGAACGCAUAGAAAGGAAGAUGGUGGAUUAUUUCCUCGCAAUGGUGGCUUUAAUUAUGCAGUGAGAGGUGAAUACGAUUUCAUAGAUCCGCAGGGAUUUCACCAUUCUUUG